AGAGUUUGAUCCUGGCUCAGGACGAACGCUUGCGGCGUGCCUAAGAAAUGCAAGUCGAACGGACAUCUUUCUUCGGAGGGGUGUUAGUGGCGAACGGUCGCGUAACACGUAAGCAACCUGCCCGGAAGUGGGGGACAACAGCCCGAAAGGGCUGCUAAUACCGCAUAGGGUCCCUGGAAGGCAUCUUUCAGGGUCCAAAGGAUGGAGCAAUCCAUUCGCUUUCGGAUGGGCUUGCGGCCUAUCAGCUUGUUGGUGGGGUAAUGGCUCACCAAGGCUUUGACGGGUAGCUGGUCUGAGAGGACGAUCAGCCGGAUUGGGACUGAGAUACGGCCCAGACUCCUACGGGGGGCAGCAAUUAGGAAUCUUGCACAAUGGGGGCAACCCUGAUGCAGCGACGCCGCGUGCGGGAUGAAGGCCUUCGGGUCGUAAACCGCUUUUAAGAGGGAAGAAAAAAAUGACGGUACCUCUUGAAUAAGCCCCGGCUAACUACGUGCCAGCAGCCGCGGUAAUACGUAGGGGGCGAGCGUUGUCCGAAGUUACUGGGCGUAAAGCGCGCGUAGGCGGUUUCUUAAGUCUGGUGUGAAAGGGUUCGGGGCUCAACCCGAACAGGGCACUGGAUACUGGGGAACUUGAGUGCGGGAGAGGGAAGCGGAAUUCCUGGUGUAGCGGUGAAAUGCGUAGAUAUCAGGAGGAACACCGAUGGGCGAGGCAGCUUCCUGGCGUGCAACUGACGCUGAGGUGCGAAAGCGUGGGGAGCGAACAGGAUUAGAUACCCUGGUAGUCCACGCCGUAAACGAUGAGUGCUAGGUGUCAGGGGUAUCGACCCCCCUGGUGCCGCAGCUAACGCAAUAAGCACUCCGCCUGGGGAGUACGGCCGCAAGGUUGAAACUCAAAGGAAUUGACGGGGGCCCGCACAAGCGGUGGAGCAUGUGGUUUAAUUCGUCACUAACCGAAGAACCUUACCCAGGCUUGACAUCGCGUGUAAAGUGGUGAAAGCCACUCCUCCCUUCGGGGACACAAAGACAGGUGUUGCAUGGCUGUCGUCAGCUCGUGUCGUGGGAUGUUGGGUUAAGUCCCGCAACGAGCGCAACCCUCACCCCAUGUUGCCAGCGUCAAGUCGGGCACUCUUGGGGAACUGCCCGUGCAAGCGGGAGGAAGGUGGGGAUGACGUCAAGUCGGCAUGGCCCUUACGCCUGGGGCUACACACAUGCUACAAUGGACGCAACAGAGGGUUCCGAGACCGCGAGGUGGAGGCAAUCCCACAAAUACGUCCUCAGUUCGGAUUGCAGGCUGCAACUCGUCUGCAUGAAGCUGGAAUCGCUAGUAACCGCAGGUCAGCUAAACUGCGGUGAAUACGUUCCCGGGCCUUGUACACACCGCCCGUCAAGUCACCUGAAUUGUCUGCACCCGAAGCCGGUGGCCGAACCCGUUUACGGGACGGAGCCGUCGAAGGUGUGGGGAGUAAGGGGGACUAAGUCGUAACAAGGUAGCCG
rnacentral:rRNA from 1 species